UAGAUAAAUAUUUUUUAACAUAAAAGUGUUUCUCAAUUCUGAUCGUGUUAUGUGAACGGAACCUAUAUACUUUGAAACGCUUCAUGAAAUUGUAUACUGUAAUACCUACUAUUUAAAUUGAAUAGUAAAGAUUUCAGAGUAAAAGCGUUAGUGUCGUCAGCAGCAAUGAAAAAUCCGUUGUGGUUUAUCUUCUGGCUAUUGGUGUUUUUGAUUUUUUCAUUUUUAGUUGCCCAUAUUGGAUGUUUUUUUUAUGUCUGGACUUAUCUUUUUGAACUCUGCAUUCCGCCAUGUGAGCCCCUCAACGAUUUUCUUUUGAAGUGUAUCCAAUUUCCUCGCUAUACCUUUGAAGCCAUGCUGGAUUGUCAAUCGUUAUGUAGUUGAUACUAACAAUAUAUCCGAUCACCUUCUAUAUAUUCGUAUUCAUUUAUUCUCAAUUUUAAUUAUUACGUAUAAAUUUGCCCGUUAGCCCGAUGUGCUUUUGAAGUGUGUCAAAUUUCCUCACUACAUCUUUGAAGCCAUUCUUGGACUGCCUUUCUUGCUGUAAUUGAGACUAACAAUGUAUCCGAUCUCUUUCUAUAUAUUUGUAUACAUUUUUUUUAUCAAUUUUAAUUAUUAUGUAUAAAUUUGGUAAAUUUUUGGUAAAUUUUACAGACUGACAUCAAAAUUCAUCAAAAUUCAUCAAAAUUU